rnacentral:rRNA from 1 species
GACGAACGCUGGCGGCGUGCUUAACACAUGCAAGUCGAACGGAAAGGCCCCUUUGGGGGUCCUCGAGUGGCGAACGGGUGAGUAACACGUGAGUAACCUGCCCUUGACUUCGGGAUAACUUCAGGAAACUGGGGCUAAUACCGGAUAGGAAUCCUUGCUGCAUGGUGGGGGUUGGAAAGCUUCGGCGGUUUUGGAUGGACUCGCGGCUUAUCGGCUUGUUGGUGGGGUAGUGGCUUACCAAGGCUUUGACGGGUAGCCGGCCUGAGAGGGCGACCGGCCACAUUGGGACUGAGAUACGGCCCAGACUCCUACGGGAGGCAGCAGUGGGGAAUAUUGCACGAUGGGCGGAAGCCUGAUGCAGCAACGCCGCGUGCGGGAUGACGGCCUUCGGGUUGUAAACCGCUUUCAGCAGGGGCGAAGCUUGUGGUGACGGUACCUGCAGAAGAAGCACCGGCUAACUACGUG